rnacentral:rRNA from 1 species
GCAGUCGACGCUUUGUGGUUCAACUGAUUUGNAGAGCUUGCUCAGAUAUGACGAUGGACAUUGCAAAGAGUGGCGAACGGGUGAGUAACACGUGGGAAACCUACCUCUUAGCAGGGGAUAACAUUUGNAAACAGAUGCUAAUACCGUAUAACAAUGACAACCGCAUGGUUGUUAUUUAAAAGAUGGUUCUGCUAUCACUAAGAGAUGGUCCCGCGGUGCAUUAGNUAGUUGGUAAGGUAAUGGCUUACCAAGGCGAUGAUGCAUAGCCGAGUUGAGAGACUGAUCGGCCACAAUGGGACUGAGACACGGCCCAUACUCCUACGGGAGGCAGCAGUAGGGAAUCUUCCACAAUGGGCGAAAGCCUGAUGGAGCAACGCCGCGUGUGUGAUGAAGGGUUUCGGCUCGUAAAACACUGUUGUAAGAGAAGAAUGACAUUGAGAGUAACUGUUCAAUGUGUGACGGUAUCUUACCAGAAAGGAACGGCUAAAUACGUGCCAGCAGCCGCGG